CAAAAAUUUAGACAAAAGAAGAAUUUCAGAGGGGAAAUUGUAACCAAUAGAAAGAAUGUUACCUGUUCUGUAGGAGUAAGCUCAAAAAUGCAACUAUAACAUAACUAUAACAUAUAACAUAUGACAUAAGAAAUGUUGCAUGGGAUAUUAAUUUUUAGCCAAUCUGGGGCACUUGAUCUUUUCAAAAUAUUCUGGGCAUUGUCUCCUUCAUAGCUGCUCUUUGUGUUGAGAUUUCUCCUCAUGAGCAGCUGCUCACUCGAGCACACCAUUCUAUAAAGAUGCUGUCAGCUCCAGAUGGAGCAGGUCUUUGGGUCUCCCAUGUACAGGGGGUGGAAAAAGUGUCAGACCACGGGACCAAAAUUUAGACUAAAGGAGAAAUGCAGAGGGAAAUUUGUAGGAAUAAGAGCUCAAAAAUGCGACUAUAAGUGCAUCCAUCUUCAUUCAUAGUGUGAUAGUGCAUAAAUGUAUAGAUUAUAGAGUGACAUAACAAAUGUUGCAUGGGAUAUUCAUUUUUAGCCAAUCUGGUGUACUUGAUAGAUUAUUGAAAGGGUACUUGAUAGAGAUGAAUGGUUAUCACUGUUUCAAUUUUAAAGGAAAACUUUCUUACCAAGUGUAGACCCUGAACAACCAAAAAAUGUCAAAUUUUUAGUUUCAUCUAUCAUUGAAACUUCAAGGGGAGGUGCAUAUGACGUUUUAGGAGAGGUGCAAAAAUUCUCAGGGGAGGUGCAAAACUAUUUCAGGGGAGGUGCCCACCUCAAAAUCCGGCUAUGGAAAGCAGAUUUACAAUGCAUAGAAUUAUGCCAAUGUGAA